rnacentral:rRNA from 1 species
GAUGAACGCUGGCGGCGUGCCUAAUACAUGCAAGUCGAGCGAAUGGAUUAAGAGCUUGCUCUUAUGAGGUUAGCGGCGGACGGGUGAGUAACACGUGGGUAACCUGCCCAUAAGACUGGGAUAACUCCGGGAAACCGGGGCUAAUACCGGAUAAUAUUUUGAACUGCAUGGUUCAAAAUUGAAAGGCGGCAUCGGCUGUCACUUAUAGAUGGACCCGGGUCGCAUUAGCUAGUUGGUGAGGUAACGGCUCACCAAGGCAACGAUGCGUAGCCGACCUGAGAGGGUGAUCGGCCACACUGGGACUGAGACACGGCCCAGACUCCUACGGGAGGCAGCAGUAGGGAAUCUUCCGCAAUGGACGAAAGUCUGACGGAGCAACGCCGCGUGAGUGAUGAAGGCUUUCGGGUCGUAAAACUCUGUUGUUAGGGAAGAACAAGUGCUAGUUGAAUAAGCUGGCACCUUGACGGUACCUAACCAGAAAGCCACGGCUAACUACGUGCCAGCAGCCGCCGUAA